CUGACAUGUCAGGAGCCAAUCAGAGUGCAAUGUGGGGAGGAGCCUGGAGAAACUGGUGAGAAAUACAGGAGGCAGCGCCUUCAUUUAAGGUGGAAAGAUGAAAUCUUGUAGCUAAGACUUUCACUGAAAUAUACACACCUGCGUGACUGCGAAGAAAAGUUUUUAAUAGUCGAAACAAAAUAAGGAAAGUCAAACAAGUGUGUCGGUAUUUCUCAGAAAAGCAGUAUUAUUGUACAGCGCUGCGGAAUUUGUUGGUGCUUUAAAAAUAUUAAUAUUAAUGAUAAUCACAAAGCAUAUUCAUUACUGUAGUUUUCAGUAGAACUCAACUGGAUAAAACUUUCUUUGCCAUUUUGACAUUGGCCUUGCAGCGUGAAAUCAGGGAUAGGAAAUUAGUAGUGAGGAGUGUGAAGGGGAAGUGGUAUAAUGUAUCUUGACAGAGCUCCCAGCAAUAUAUCCCACCGACCAUUAACAUGCAGCUUGUAUGUCCUAUUUGGGACAUUUUUUAAGCCGGCCAAUGUAAUUUACCCCCAUCAAACUAUAUAUUUUUGAAGAGUAGACCCCCUAGGGUAUUUCAAAUGGAGGUAUUUUAACACUUUCCAUGCACUAAUUCUAACACCAAUCUUCAUGGAUUGCAGGAUAAAACUUACAAGGAAAUGUUAAAGGAACUUAACAUGUAUAGCUUGGAGGAAAGACGAGACAAGGGGGAUAUGAUAGAAACAUUUAAAUACAUAAAGGGUAUCAACACAGUAAAGGAGGACACUAUAUUUAAAAGAAGAAAAACUACCACAACAAGAGGACAUUAGAGGGACAAAGGUUUAAAAAUAAUAUCAGGAAGUAUUACUUUACCGAGAGGGUAGUGGAUGCAUGGAAUAGGCUUCCAGCUGAAGUGGUAGAGGUUAACACAGUAAAGGAGAUUAAGCAUGCGUGGGAUAGGCAUAAGGCUAUCCUAACUAUAAGGUAAGGCCAGGGAAUAAUUAAAGUAUUUUUUUAAAAAUUGGGCAGACUAGAUGGGCCGAAUGGUUCUUAUCUGCUGUCACAUUCUAUGUUUCUAUGUCUUUGUAAUUUUACUCUAAGUGUAUUUUUAUAUUAAUAUAUGUAUAUAUUAAUAUAAAAAAUCACUUCUUAUGAUGUUAUAUAAGAUAUAUAUACAUAUUAUAUAUUAAUUUUAUUUUUACUUUUAUUAACUUUGUUUUUUUACUUUUCCACCAGCAGAGGGACUGCCUGUCAGUUCAGGCAGUCCCCCUGCUGGCAGCACUCUGGACUCUUAUAGAGUGGCCACAUAGCCCCUGGGGAUCCUUUUUUGCAGAGUGGGACUCUCUAGGCUCAGUCCAGGGAGUACCCCCAAAGAAGAAGACCGAUAGCCAGCGGAGGAACGGCGGCGAUCGGUAAGUACAUGGGGAGGGAGGGAAUGUAGGGGUUAAAUUUAAAAAAAAAUUAUUUAGUUUAAAAAAAACAAAAAAAUAAUCUUUUUCUUUACUAUUACUGAGUGCCUUGACACCCCGAGGCACUCAGUAGAGACAGAGCAUUGGAAGCCUGUCUGAAGGCUUCCGAUGCUCUGUCUCACUGCCGGGCUCCACGUGGAGCAACCCGGAAGUGAUCGCUCCGGGUGGAGCGAUCACCCGGCAAUCUCCGGUGGCCUACGGCAGUGAGGGAGGGUAUUACAGCGAUGCCUCAACAUCGCUGUAAUACCAUUAGAGCUGCUGGAAGCGAUCAUGAUUCAGCAGUUCAGUUCUUGUAAAACAAAAGUUGUUAAUUAGUUCGGACAACUGUAUGAGUUGUUUUUUCUAAACUUAAACCUCAGUAUUCAGGUUUAAUUGCCGUGUUGGCACUUUGAGGGAAAAAAAGUUGGCAUGUAUUGCUGUUUGGGCACUCUGGCUCAAAAAGGUUCGCCAUCACUGCCCUAGCGGACUGUGUUGCCUUGCCCAUAAAGGUCACAAGAUGGUGGAGAAUGCGGGCAUCUAAAGCACAUUUAUACGGUCUGUGGGUAUAGAGGCCUAAGGUACUGUGAAUCUGCAAACGGAGACUAGUUGUUUGAAACAGAGACCUGCAGGUGUGGUGUGUGGUAUUUACCAAGUGGCUAUGAAAAAAAAAAAGCAAGAUGGAAGAGUUAGUAAAAGCCUUGGUACAGGCUACUACUACCCAGCAAGACACAAUCCGUGUAACAGCGGCUCAGAUCAGUAGCCUCAUGGAGUCACAGCGACAGGCUGUUGCGGCCCAACAGGAGACAAACCGCUUAUUGGCCACACAAAUAGACUGCGUUAUGGAAACACAGCGGGAAGACAGUAAAACUAACAAGUGCUUUGCAACAAACCAUACUGUCAAGUGUGACUAACCCUACUAUGGAUAGGGGGUGCCAGAUUAGCGUUACUGACUUUUUACAUAAAGUGAGUGAGGUUGAUGACAUGGAGGCUUACCUGACAACCUUUGAAAGAAUUGCUACCCAAGAAGGAUGGCCUCCAGGUCAGUAGGCAUGAUUAUUAGCCCCUUGCCUCACUGGAGAAUCCCAAAAAGCAUAUGAUGAUUUGCCGCUCAGCCAAGCACAAGACUAUGACCAAUUAAAAGCAGAAAUAAUAACACGUCUUGGAGUUACGCCUGCAGUGCGAGCCCAAAGAUAUAAUGCAUGGGUUUAUGAUACAGAGAAAUCUACUAGGUCACAAAUGUAUGACCUCUUGAGACUUGGCCAGAAAUCAACUCUGCUGCAGUAAUCAUUGAAAAGGUGGUUAUGGAUCGCUUUCUCAGGAGUCUGCUGAUAGCGCUACGGAAAUGGGUCAGUCAAGCGGAUCCAAAGGACCCAGAAAAAAUGAUGAACUUGACAGAGAGAUACCGGUUUGCUAAUGAAACUCAGAGUAAAGAAUUUUUGGUACAGACAGAUGCGUCUGAUGUGGGCCUAGGAGGGGUUCUUUCUCAAGUACACAGAGGAGAAGAACAUCCCAUUAUGUACCUGAGCAAAAAGCUGAAUUCCCAUGAACAGAGAUACUCAGUAGUUGAGAAAGAAUGCUUGGCCAUAAAAUGGGCACUAGAAACACUUAAGUAUUAUCUAUUGGGGAGAAGGUUCAAACUUGUCACAGAUCAUGCACCCUUGACGUGGAUGAGACAAAACAAGGAAACAAAUGCCAGAGUAACUAGGUGGUUCCUUAGUCUUCAGCCAUAUAACUUCUCUAUGGAGCAUAGAGCUGGUAAAGACCAGGGGAAUGCAGAUGGUUUAUCCAGAGUCCAUUGUUUGUGGUCAAAGGUUGCUACGACCAAUGGGUCUAAGCUGGCGGGGAGGAUAUGUGACAGAGUCUAUGGGAGGGUAAUAGAAGGAAGGUAUUUAGGACCCAGAAUCCUCCAUAACCUGUACUCAUUCACCUUCCCAAUUAGGAACUGCUGAGGCUUUAAUUAGCAGGUCUCAGAGCAGAAAGGAGAGAGGUUCAAUCUGACCUGCAGAGAGCAGCACCAGAAAAAAGUGCUAAAGGUUGGUGAAACCAAUGUUUAUUUUGUUGAUUUGUUUAGAUUAUUACCAUGGUUUAGUAAGUCCUCGAAUUUGAGCUAGGAUUUUGUUUGUAGACUUUCCUUUCUGUUUUGCUGCAGUUUUGAACAAAUUGAUUGCUGCAUGGAUUUUUGUGCACAAUGUAAAUAAACCACACUUUUUGCAUAAGAGACUGUUCUAUACCUGUUACCCUAGAGGACUGUGUUGCUUUGCCCAUAAAGGUCACAUGAGUUAUCUACUUAUUCAUUCCUGUCGUUACAUUGACUGGCCAAGUAACUUACAUUUUAUAUGAAUGUCUGUUACUUGAUUGUUGCAAAUGCUUACAGCUGAAUCCUGGGUAUGUUUUGUAUAAUUUUUAUUUAAAAUUGUAUACAGUGUAACAUUUCUUCAUUCUUCCACUGGGUAAGUAUAUUAGUUCUUGGGCAAUACUGUGCUUCGGCACUUGGACAAUUUUGGAACUUUGGCAAUUCAUCUAUUCGGAAGUACCCGCAUGUCCGAAUUUCCCAAAAUUCGUCCGAAUUCACAUUCAGACCAAAACGAAUUGCACAUGUCUAAUACGUGUGUGAUGAUGGCGAUGUGCCAGAGGAAUGCUUGUCACCAUAUUGCAAGCAUAGUACAAGCACAUCAUACCUUACGAUAAACACAACAUAAGUAAAACACAUCUUAUUGCAAGUUCAACAUAGGCAAAUCACACCUUUUUACAAGCAUAACACAGGGAUCUCACACCACAUCAGUGACCGAAUGGAGAUAAAAACCAGCUCUGGAAACAAUUGUAUAACAGACCAAUAGCAUUGCGUCAUACCAGCUCCAUAUCAUGACAUUAUUUUCUUGUUCAUAAGAGGGAAAAUCAUGCAUUUUAAAGCACAUUUGAAAACUGUAUUAUUGAUAAAACUGAUCUAUAAUCCUGCACAGGGCAAUAUAUACCCCCCAAUAUGUACACAAGGUUAUAUCUCACAUACUGUCUGAUAUAUGCCACAUGCACAGGUCAAUAUAUAGGCCCCAGUAUGUAAACAAGGUUACAUGAAUUACCCUAUUCAGGGGUAUACAGUUGCAAGAAAAAGUAUGUGAACCCUUUGGAAUGAUAUGGAUUUCUGCACAAAUUGGUCAUAAAAUGUGAUCUGAUCAUCAUCUAAGUCACAACAAUAGAUAAUCACAGUCUGCUUAAACUAAUAGCACACAAAGAAUGAAAUGUUGCCAUGUUUUUAUUGAACACACCAUGUAAACAUUCAUAGUGCAGGUGGAAAAAGUAUGUGAACCCCUACACUAAUGACAUCUCCAAGAGCUAAUUGGAGUGAGAUGUCAGCCAACUGGAGUCCAAUCAAUGAGAUGAGAUUGGAGGUGUUGGUUACAGCUGCCCUGCCCUAUAAAAAACACACACCAGUUCUGGGUUUGCUUUUCACAAGAAGCAUUGCCUGAUGUGAAUGAUGCCUUGCACAAAAGAGCUCUCAGAAGACCUACGAUUAAGAAUUGUUGACUUGCAUAAAGCUGGAAAGGGUUAUAAAAGUAUCUCCUUGCUGUUCAUCAGUCCACAGUAAGACAAAUUGUCUAUAAAUGGAGUAAGUUCAGCACUACUGCUACUCUCCCUAGGAGUGGCCGUCCUGUAGAGAUGACUGCAAGAGCACAGCGCAGACUGCUCAAUGAGGUGAAGAAGAAUCCUAGAGUGUCAGCUAAAGACUUACAAAAGUCACUGGCAAAUGCCAACAUCCCUGUUAGCGAAUCUAUAAUACGUAAAACACUAAACAAGAAUGGAUUUCAUGGGAGGAUACCACAGCGGAAGCCACUGCUGUCUAAACAAAACAUUGCUGCACGUUUACAGUUUGCACAAGAGCACCUGGAUGUUCCACAGCAGUACUGGCAAAAUAUUCUGUGGACAGAUGAAACCAAAGCUGAGUUAUUUGGAAGAAACACACAACACUAUGUGUGGCGAAAAAAAAGGCACAGCACACCAACAUCAAAACCUCAUCCCAACUGUGAAGUAUGGUGGUGGGGGCAUCAUUGUUUGGGGCUGCUUUGCUGCGUCAGGGCCUGGACGGAUUGCUAUCAUCGAAGGAAAAAUGAAUUCCCAAGUUCAUCAAGACAUUUUGCAGGAGGACUUAAGGCCAUCUGUCUACCAGCUGAAGCUCAACAGAAGAUGGGUGUUGCAACAGGACAAUGACCCAAAGCAUAGAAGUAAAUCAACAACAGAAUGGCUUAAACAGAAGAAAAUACGCCUUCUGAAGUGGCCCAGUCAGAGUCCUGACUACAACCCGAUUGAGAUGAUGUGGCAUGACCUCAAGAAAGCGAUUCACACGAGACAUCCCAAGAAUAUUGCUGAACUGAAACAGUUCUGUAAAGAGGAAUGGUCAAGAAUUACUGCUCUGCAACUACAGGAAACGUUUGGUUGAAGUUAUUGCUGCCAAAGGAGGUUCAACCAGUUAUUAAAUCCAAGGGUUCACAUACUUUUUCCACCUGCACUGUGAAUGUUUACAUGGUGUGUUCAAUAAAAACAUCGCAACAUAUCUUCUUUGUGUGUUAUUAGUUUAAGCAGACUGUGAUUGUCUAUUGUUGUGACUUAGAUGAUGAUCAGAUCACAUUUUAUGACCAAUUUGUGCAGAACUCCAUAUCAUUCCAAAGGGUUCACAUACUUUUUCUUGCAACUGUAUAUCAGGGCAGUGUGUGAGACAUCACCUUGUGUUUAUACUGGGGCAUAUAUUGACUUACCCCAGCACAGAGAUUGCACUCACAUGACUUACCCCAACACCUAGGACUUACCCCAGCAUGGUGAUUGCACUCACAGGACUUGUCCUAGCACCCAAGACUUACGCCAGCAUGGAGACUGCACUGACAGUACUUGCCUCAUGACCUCUGAACAGCCUCCAGCACAGAAACAAUACCAGAUAUGAGAUUUCUGGCAACAUCACACUGCCCGAGUGUGGGCUCUCUCGUAUUCUUACAGCCUGACUCUUAAAGCGGCCAUCUCAGAACACUUAAAGGACACAUCCCACAGUUGCCCCAGGGCAGUCCAACUGUUUGCGUCUAAUGGGAACUGCAUGUGAUUUAUUGGGUUGUCUGUUUGUGAUAAGAAUAGUUUGUGUGUGAUGUUAUUGAGCUGUGUACGUGUGAUGGAAACUGUGGGUUAGCAUUGGGCUGGCUGUGUGUGAUUAGAAUGUGUGUGAUCAUUUUAUGCUGUCAAUGUGUGAUGGGGACUGCUUGUGCUUGUUGUAGGUUUGGGCUGGCUGUGUAUGGUGGGACUAGCUGUGUUUGUCUUCAUGUCAUAGUAAUAAACCCUGAUGUGUAUAUAGCCUCAUCUACAGGGCUGCCAUGAGAAAUUAUGGGUCAUCUGACAAAGCUCAAGGUCUGGGCCAAAUGGGGCCCACCUCCGAGUCCGCCCACAGUGUAUAUAGUGGAUGUAGAAUUAGGGCUUAUUCUAGCUUCAGUGACUAAUCUAAAUUUUAUUAAAGACAGGAGGCAAAUAGUUGCUUUACUGAAUCCUCCCAGCAGCAAAGAAACAGUUAAACAAUUAAAAACAAAAUCAACCAAUCAGAAGACAUCCAUACAGUAAUAUGUGGCUAUAAGACUCCUCCCAACUCCUCUUUCUUGAUGCAGCCGAAACUUGGAAGUCCACUGUGUAAACCAGAAAAUAGUCUGCAAAACACAGAGCAUAGUCAACCAUGUAAACGAGGAAUAAAGAGUCCAAUGAAGAGACGAAUCAGGGAUGCCGUGAAGGACAAGAAGAAACUUCAUACUAGAACGAAAAGAAAAUUUGUGAAAGUAUGGUGUGAUUGGAAGACUGGCAGUCAUACAGAAACAAACACUAAUGUAACAAGUUGUGUCAAUAAUUAUGCAAUAUACAUAUAUUAUGAAAACGAGAGUAAUCUAAACAUUUUACAACAAAACCAUGAUCAAAAUAUAUACGAGGCAAGUAAAAUGCAUGUAAGACCUUACCUGAGUAUCACAAGUGAACAUAAUAAAGGGGUGGGACAUUGAAAGAUUUAAAGAAACCAACGGGUGGGAAAAUAUUUGCCUCCUUUCUUUAAUAAAAUUUAGAUUAGUCACUGAAGCUAGAAUAAUCCCUAAUUUUAUGGCAAAACAGGAGGCUUCAUAUUUGCAGUUUUAAAGCCUGGAGAGUAAAUGGAAAUAAACGUGAGAUGCAGGUCGGAAAUAUAAGGUACGGAAAGUGGAUUCUCGUGAUCAAUCAGCAGAAGAUAGAACGUCUGAAAGAGACCUCCUGGGGACCAAGGCAGAAGAUACAGCUGUGCACCGAAUGGGCACCAAAAGAAGCUUCAAUGCUCGCAAGACGAAGAAGCCAUCUAAUACAACGAGAAAUCAUGUGACAGUACAUGAGGACAAAUAUAAAAUACAAACAGACGUCCCAAAGGAGCCCGAAGAAGGGAGAUAAGAGUGACAUAUCGCUGUAAUUGGGCAGACUAGAUGGGCCGAAUGGUUCUUAUCUGCCGUCACAUUCUAUGUUUCUAUGUUUCUAUGUAAGCAAUGAGCAACACAAAGAGAAGGUCUAUCCGGAAAGUAAGGAUCAAAAACGGAGGUGGAAAUAACCUUUGUGCAACAAAUUAGGAAAAAUUAACACCCUCAGAGUGAACGCAAUAGCGUGGAAGUCAAAUGCCAUGAUGUCAGAAACUUGAUGAACGGAAACCAAACAAAGCAAUUGUUACGCUACUUGGGUGAUUUGGAUUGGAACUCAACUGCAGCUUGUAAAACUCCCUAAUUACAAUAGUGAAGAAACGGAGAAUCUUUAAAGUAUCAAUACUGUAGCUUUAAGAAAAGAGAGAAUCACUGGUAACUUGAUUCAACCGAAGUUUUAAUAAGUGUUAAACUUAAAUGAAUUGCAUUUAGGCAAUAAUCCAAUAAGAAGAAGUGCAAGUAAUCAACAACACAAAGUUCAUUAUUAAAGGACCACUAUAGUGCCAGGAAAACAUACUCGUUUUCCUGGCACUAUAGUGCCCUGAGGGUGCCCCCACCCUCAGGGACCCCCUCCCGCCCGGCUCUGGAAGGGGGAAAGGGGUAAAAACGUACCUUUUUCCAGCACUGGGCGGAGAGCUCUCCUCCUUCUCUCCUCCUCUUCUCCGCCCCGUCGGCUGAAUGCGCACGCACGGCGAGAGCUGUGUGCGCAUUCAGCAGGUCACAUAGGAAAGCAUUCAUAAUGCUUUCCUAUGGACGCAGGCGUGCUCUCACUGUGAAAAUCACAGUGAGAAGCACGCAAGCGCCUCUAGUGGCUGUCAAUGAGACAGCCACUAGAGGGAAUAGGGGGAAGGCUUAACCAGCUUAAUCUCUGAAACUGCUAUGUUUAUAAAAAAAUGGGUUAACCCUAGAAGGACCUGGCACCCAGACCACUUCAUUAAGCUGAAGUGGUCUGGGUGCCUAGAGUGGUCCUUUAAGUAUUUCUUCAGAGAUGAAUAAAGUAACAUUCUUUAAGUACAUGAGAAUAAUCUUCAAUAGAAACAAUAAGCAAGUAGCUAAGAAUAUUUGCAGAGCAAGAACAGUUCAUAGUUAAUAAGCAUGAUGGGAGUUGUCCUCCAUAUAAUUAGUAGCUUGAAGCAGUGAAGAUUUGAGUAAGCAAGCAUUAGUUCAUUAUUAAAUGAUAUUGUAGACAAAUAUCUGAAAGAUAUACUUAAGGUUAAUGUAAGUAGUCCUCCAAUAGUUCAGAGGGGUAUGGUCCACUUGUAAAGUAAGUGAGUUUCCGUUCUCCAGUAAUCCUCUAUGACAUGAAGCAUACUUGUCUUGGCUCAAAGGCUGGAACGGUUUGCCUGAGCUUGUGGAGAGGUAAGUCUGGUGGAAGUAGCUCCCAGUGGCUGAGCCUGUGGAGCCCACGGUCUCGCGGAGGCAGCUCACACAUUAGCUCACACACAAUCACCAAGCACCCUCUCUCUGGCCCAGUCUCCCUAAAUACCAUCAGAGCUGUGUCAGAGGGGGGCGGGGUCCGGCUCCUCACAGCUGAGUGACAGCAAUAAGGCUAGUUUGGUUGAGAGUUGGAGGAAGGAAAGUUCAGAAUUAGGAGGCAAUGCUUCCAGGAAUGACAAAACCUGAGCAACAUCCCAGAAUUGGGUGUAUUGAGGGAGCCGAGGGUCAAGAAAGACAAAUACCCUGUAACAACCUUCAAACAGAAGGAUGUUUCCCAACCAGAAAUGCGUCAAUCGGGAUAUGACCUGCCAAAAUAGCAGAACAAAGAAUGUUUAUGGUAUGGUAAGACUUUCUUUUGUCAAAAGGGGAAGAUAGGAAGUUCAUAAUAUUCACCAAAGUAGUUUGAAAAGGGAUCAAUAUCCCUUUCCAAACACCAGCUAACCCAGAAACGCCAUGCUGAAAGGUAUGCUCUAUGAGUUCCGGGGGCCCAUGAAUCCCAGAGGAGUCCUCGAGAUGAGUCAGAAAGUCCUAAGACAUACCAGGAUCCCCUGAAAUCGUCCAGGUCAUAUGUCAAAGAUGACCUUAGAUGGCGAGAGGAUGGAAGUCCCCUUAAGUAUCUUGGAGGAAAUUGUGAGGUACCAGGAGAAGCAGAAGGUAAUCUUCCGAAAUUUCUAGGAGAUUGAGAUAAAAAGGCUGGGCCCUCCAGAGAGGAGUUAUUAAGAGGAUCUUGACUCCAAGAACCCUGAGAUGAUAAAGAGUUCAAGAGAUCUUUGAAAAGGGUGGAAAGGCAUAAGCCACUGUCGAUGUUUGCCACUGUCACAGUAAGAAUGUGUCGACGGCUUGAGCCAUCUGAUCUGGUAGCCAACUGAAAAACAGCGUCGGCCUGACGAUUCACUCUGGAAGCAAACAGGUCCAAAGUGAGAGGACUCCGAUGUAGAUGAUGGAAAUGCCUGGAACCAGGUGUCAAUCGCUGGCAUGUGUCCAGUGAUGGGAGAACCAGUCUGCCAUGAGAUUGUCCAGUCCUGGAAGGUAUUCUGCUAGAAGAGAGAGGUUCCUGUCCAGACAGAACUGAUAAAGUUCUCUCAUAAGAUCUGACAGGAACUUUGAUUGAAAACCCCCUAGGCAAUUGACUUUACGGACAGUGGAAACAUUGUCCAUUCUGAGAACGAAGCUGCGAAUCACAAAGGAAAGCUGCCAUCAGUCCGAGGCAAUUGAUAUGCAACGUGUGUUCUGAUUGUGUCCAGAGUUCAUCUGUGGAGAGGUUGGAGCAGGUAGCCCCCCAACCCAGGAGGCUGGUGUCUGACUCCAGGAUAAAAUUGGGUUGCUACCUGAAUAUAGCUUUCCCAUUCCAGGCUUCCGUGUUGUGGAGCCACCAAUCUAACUCUAGUCAUACCUUGUCGGUAAGAAAACUGGUUGGUUGUAUGACCUGUAUCUGUGAAGAUAAUAUGUCUUGAGACAUUGUAUUGCACAUUUAUGACCUCUCUCCCUCUUUAUCCAUAUUUCCCUCCCUCUUUUCCUAAUGGCAGGCAACUUGUAAACUAACAGAGCAUGCUCUAUCCUACACAUUGUUGGAUGUCCAUACCCGACGGCGCACUGAUUCAUAUUGAAUACCCUACGCAGAGUGGGAGGCGCUCCCCCUCCCAGUGUACAGUGCGUAGGGUUUUCUUUGCCAAUCCCGCGCUACGCCCCUACCCCCCCACCGCACAACACCCCGCACGCCACCACACACAGCCACCAAACAUGUAUGAACACCUUGACAUACACAUAUUAUUAUUAUGUUAUUAUUUAUAUAGCACCAACAAAUUCUGCAGCGCUUUACAGUACACGCACUAUUAUACACACACACACACACACACACACACUGACACAUAGAUAUACACAUUGAAACACACACUGGCACACACACACACACACAGAUACACACUCUGGCACAUAUAUUUAGAUACACACACACACACUCAUACACAUUGACAAACACACUGGCACAUACACGUACAAGCAUACACACAAUUUGACACACACAUCAUACUUUAUAUAUUUACAGCCAUCCUCCUGUUUACCUUUGUGUCCAGGAGGGUGGCUUGAUUGGGGUUUAGGUCCUGGCUGAGGCUGAUGGGAGUGAGCAUGCAGUAGCAGCUUACUCCAGCUUCUCUUCUGCCUUCAUGCUGUGCUCCAGCCUCCUCCUCUCUCCAUUACAGUGUGCUUCUGCUGCCUCCUCUGUCCAUUGCUCCCGGGCGGCGGUUCUCUGAAAAGCUGGAAGGAAGUGGCUGUCACUUAAUCCCUGCCAGCUGAUAUUACAGGGUCCCAGUCGGCUCUUAAAGGGUUGGCACCUCACCUGACCCCUGUUUAGCAAUAAUUAUGGGUGGGAGGAGUAGCGCAAAUCAUAUGAAAUACAAUGGAAAUCACACAGACCUCAGAUUGUGUGUGUGUGUGUGUGUGUGUGUGUGUGAUUUCCAGUUGUCAGGGAGCAGCAUUCAAAAUCAGGGAGUCUCCCGGAACUACUGGGAGACUUGGGAUGUCUGUGAGUGUAUCCAGAGGUCCUCAUCAAAAACCUGAAAGGAGUAUGAAGUGACUUAGUGCAUCACAGAACCCUUCAGCAAUAAAACACCAUUGAAUAUGGAUGGUAUUUGAGGCGUAUAAUGGAGCACCACAUUAAUAAAUGCACAAUGAAUGGGUAUUGUGUAUGAGUGUGUCAUAAAAGACAGUUAUGUAUUUUGUAUAAGAUUGUCAGAGCUCCACAAACAAACAAAAUAAAUGGUUACUGCAGAAUAGGCCAAACGUGCCACUGCCGCAAUCAAGAAGAGGUAAAAUUUUUGUUGUGUCACAGAAACACCACCAAUAGAUCAAUAUCACAUUUGAAGUAUUCACGCCCAUUUAAAGAAAGAUACAAAGAGGUUUAUUUGCUGAUAUAUCCUUUGUACAGCUGUUUUCUAAUCAUCCAAUUGUAUAUUGGAUGGUAAUUCCUGCAUGCAAUAUGAACAAGUACUUACAGAGAAUGUGCUUGCCCCAGUGCUUGGUACAGUGAUAUUUAUUUUUGUGACACUCUAGGCACAGCCAAGUCCUUCACCAGUGUUUAUAUAAUGUGUGUGAUUGUAAAUUUAUAUGAGGGAUGUGUAUGAAAGGAUGUUUGUGAAAUAUGUUAAAUGUAUGCAUAUAUGAAUAAAAUUAAACAUACAUACACAAAUACAAUCACAUUCUGACACACAUACACACUGACACACACAGAUACACACAUAUACUGACACAGAUACACAUACACACUGACAGAGACACAUUGUGACACAGAUAAACAUACACACUAAACUAGCACACAUAGCUUCCCUGGGGUCCAGUCAUUAUCUGGCUGGUGAGAUUCUGGUCCAGGCUUUCACUUCCUCCCAGCACUGGCUGCCAUUAUUAAAGAAUAAUGCCCAUCAGGUGGCCCUAAGUGCAUGGACCACCCCAUGGACCCACUCACUACGUAGGCCCUGUGGCAGCCACACUGACGGUAGUACUGCCUCUGCAUCAACACUUCAUAUUCUCACAGAGGAGCAAUUUUUUAUUAGCUUCCCUUUCUUACACACAUACAACUAUUCACACACACAUAUUAUAUAUAUAUAUAUAUAUAUAUAUAUAUAUAUAUAUAUAUAUAUAUAUAAAUAAAAAUGUGUGCUCGGAAUCUCUAAUAUGUAAAUGGAAUGUAGAGGAGAAGCAAAGUUGGUUGAGGUGUGCCGAAACCAACGUCCGAGUAGGCCUGUAAAAAGAGGGCCCACAAAGUGAAAUGUAUAAAGGAGGGUGUAGGUGGGUGGGGACAAAACAGCUUAAACGCCAAAGGUAAGUAGGGGGGUAGGGUUUAUAUAGGGUCAUAACUCCUCCCACAAAUUCAGGCCAAAUGGCCUUCCAAUUUGUGCUCGGAAUCUCUAAUAUGUAAAUGGAAUGUAGAGGAGAAGCAAAGUUGGUUGAGGUGUGCCGAAACCAACGUAUGAGUAGGCCUGUAAAAAGAGGGCAAAAAGGAAUUUGAAUAAACUUGCAAUAAAGUGUGUUUACAAUAGCUAGAUUUCUGAAAGCUUGCCUAAGCUCCCUUUCUGGUUGAGGGAUGUAGGAGUUGUAUACUGAGGAUUUCCAGCAUCCCAGUCUCUUAACGAUGUGUACCGGAGUGUUAGUGCUUGAAGCCGAUGAUGCAGCGCCGAUGCGAAACAAGUGACCAGAGAAGGAAGCUGGGUUGUAGCCCAAUCUUGACAGUAGAGUUCUGAUUUGUGAAAUAAACUUAGCUGUGGUGAGUGGGUGUCCUUGGAGUAGAAGUAGUGGGGGUGUCUGGUGAGUGUGUGUGUGUGGGUGUGGUGAGAUAACAGGAGCAAAUCCAGAAUAUGUACUGGGUACCACAGAUUCUCGGUAGGGAAGAGGGGAAUGAUAGUGGGAUAGGCAGAGUGAUUGGUUUUAGUUGAAGGUAAGGAGAGUAUGUAAUGGUAGUCUACUUUCUUUAAGUGGGAAAGUUUAAGACAAUGGACUGUGUCUCCUUGACGUAUCACAGUGAACUCUCUAGGUCUGAGGAAACCGUAGAAAGCCAAAAAGAUGGCGGCUUUAUUGUCCAAUAGGUCGCUAAGGAGCCUGAAUAUUGGAUCGUCUAUUGGUAACCUAGUAGUGCUAGGAGGAACUGUGACCUUAAAAAUACCUUUAAGGAUUUUCUUGAUGGGGAGGAAGAUAGAAAAGGAACGUGGUUAGGGAAGGUAAUGAGCAUGUGGUGUUGUACUCCAGUAAGGUAGAGUUUGAUAGUGUUGUGUGAAAGUUUUAGGUGUAGAUGGCAAAAGGAGGCAAAAGCCACCAUGGUUUUGAUGGAAAGGUCACCUUGUAAGCAAAACGCGGCGGUAAAUUUGUUAAAAAUAGUCAAUGCCCUAACGUGGUAUUGGGAGACGGUGCGUGAGUGCUUGUGCAUGGAGUAAUAGUUCAUUUAAACCAGGAUUAGCCAGUGGAACAGAGGUUUCCUGGAUGGUUGGAGGUAGGCUGGAAGGGGAGCCUGGCCGGAGACCUGUAAUUAAGAGCGUGAAAGAGUGUCAGCAGCUGAGUUGUGGCACCGGGGGUGUGGAACGUUUGAUGUUCCUUUAAAGACCGAUUAGACACGCGACUGAGAGGGCCCUUGGGCCCCCACAGGUGUCUACUAAAAUGGAGGGCCGGCGUACCUUGUUGGGGUCUACAAAUGAUUGGGCAGGGGAUGGGUAUGCCGUGAAGUAACACCUGGUGUAGGUCGUGUGAUUGAAAAGUGAGGGGAAGGUCGUGAGUCCCAUGCGAGAGCCUUUGGGGUGAUAGACGUGCUGGGCACAUCGUCUUGGCGUGGGCUCUGAAGCAUAUGGAGCAAAUGUGCAACAACCUGCAUGCGCUGUAGCUGCAUGCGCCUGUGUUAGAGUUAUUGCACACCUGCGCCUUACCCAAGAAAGUGAUGGGCCUUCCUGUCUUGUGAGUGGGGUGAAGGAGUGGUGGGGUGUGGAGGUGGAAGGGUCUGAGUCUCCAGGGCAUAGGUUGGUGGAGUGUGAAGUGGAACCACAUGAGGCACAAGACGGGGGCCUCAAACCAGCAAAAUGCUGGCAAAACAACUCGGUAUCUAUCUGGCACCAAUCAAUUCUAAUAUUGAACUGUGCCAGAUGAGUCGCUGCCUUGGCCGACACUGAUUUGUGGUAAUUAUAGAAUGAGGACCCACCGUACUUGAUGCCCAAAUCCACCACCUUAUGCUUAUAUAAAUCAAGCUACUCUCUCCUAUGUGGGCACACCGUGCAAAUAACAUCUCUAUAAGUGCCAAAAGCGAUAAACUGUGGAAUGGUGAGUUUUUGUUCAAACGUGGAUCUCUGGCUCUUAAGACUACCGAAAUGUCCCCAUAGUUGUAAGCUCUAUUCUCUAAGAUGUCUUGUGAGGCUAUGAGGAGGGACAUUAAAUUUACGUCUUUUCCAUCAAGAAUAUCCUUCUUGAUGGAAGCCGGGACAGAGUGGGCUGGUGAGGCGUGGGCAGUGGGAGUAGUGGUGGCAGGUGGGGGAGGGGAGAUGAGGGGUAUGGCAGUCAGAGCAGUCGAGGUCAUUGGUGUAGGGACUGCUGGGGCUGUUAAGUCACCUGGAGUGGCUAUGGCCUAUUCCACCUUCAGCAACCUGCUGUUUAUGGAUUGCAGAUUGGCCAGUAUAGCCGCCAGAGUUUCCUGGGUGGAAUCAGAGUAGCCAACUGUGAACUCGUGCCGGCUUGGGUCGUUGGCCGGAGUCGUCAGAAGUUUGUAAAGUUCUGCCUUUCUAGCGGUGGCUGGAAAGGGGAUCCCCCGGAGCUUGAGCUCAGCCGAUAUUUUUGGAAUGGUCCAAUAUCUUAGUGAUCUGGGAGUAGAAGGAGUGAGGGAUUCCUCCGGAGACCCAGGCCUGGCUGGCGUGCUGGGUACAUCGUCUGAUGGGGGAAAUUGAUGAUUGGUUCUCGAGACACAUUCUGAAAAGAAUAAUGAUAUGGAUAAGUAGGGUAUAGUGGAGGUGGGAUGAGACCUCCAGGGGGAACUGGCCUGCUAGCUAAUGCAGAGGCGAAGAAUUAUACCUAGAACUAAGUGACAGGUGAGGCCCUGCUAUUGCCAAGUGGCGGUGAGUGGCUCUACCUAUGAUUCAAAACGUGUGGCCGUGACAUGGGAAGCCCUAACUGUAGCCCUAAAGAAGAGCCAGCGAGGUGGCUAGCUAUGAUUUGGUCGUGGGGCUGAACUUCCGUGUAUGAGGUGGGGGUGUAGACCUCGUGGACCGCAGUAUUGUUAGGGAAAGCUAGGGCCAGCGCCUAACCCUGAAAGCCAGUUCUCUACCCUGAUGGGGGCUUGUCUCUUGAAGGAAGUAUAUAAUGUAUGUAGAUACUGACCUUGAGUGUUUGUCCUGUAUAUUUAGACAAUGCUCAGGGCGACUUCAAUAUAUAUCUCUAUAUGUACUGUGAAGAACAGGUCCAGGCCAGGAACCUAGGGGUAAGAAAGAUGCUAGUAGGCCUGAGGCGUGCCAUUGGUAUGCCAAGUGUAAAAAUGUAGAACGUAUGGAAUGGUGUGUAACAGUAAAACUGUAUCAUAAGCACCUGUGUAAUCUGAGGGACCUGAACGUUAGUCCAAUUUUUUGAGACAAGCCCCUGGGUUCCCACAAAUGAGUAAUAUUUGUGACAGAUAUGAAGGCAAAGUGAGGCCUUAGAAGGACAUAAUCGUAGUGAGUAAGAUUUAAGGAUACCUGAUACUGAAACGUCGGGAACCAGGUAGCCUGAUGGUCGUUGAAGGCGUAGUGAAUCCGCGAAAUGGUGUAUGUCUAAGUAAUGAAAUGUAGAUAUUAAAAACAGAAUUAACAAUUAAUAUAAUAGUAACAUGGAGGGUGAGGCAUCUGUGACGGUAGUAGAAAAUAUCCCCGUCAAGCAUUCCCUUCUUCCCAUAAAAGAAAAGCACUCAAUAUUCCAUAAGCAGAAAUAUCCCUGGAAUCGCCGAAUAAUCCACACAUGAGCCAAAGCUUAAUGCUGGAACAAGACUGAUUUAAUGGCACACAGAACUCACAAUUUAAGCAACACAAAACUCCUCCUCUGGGCCAGGCUAGAUAAUUGAGUUUCUACAAUACACAAAGCUCAAUUAUCUGCUGGCCAGAAACAUUACAAUUUAUAACAGUUUCAGAAACAUACUUUCUAUAAGACAUACCAAUUAUACUUUUAACAUCCAUGGAUAGCUGAGGAUACUGGUAGUCACAUAUCCAAAUCUCACGAAUUUCCGUUCGGUAGUUUCCGUGUCGCAUCGUGUGGAAGUUUGACCGGCUUGCCAUGUGGAGGUAUCCGAGUUACAGUUCCAUAGAAUCAGUAGCAAGAGCCGGUCUCCGUUCGCAUCUAACUACACGAAAACUACAGUUCGUAUGGUUCAGCUGGUUACCUGUGAAUGUUCCCCUCAUUCGGUAGAUACCAUCUACCGAACGCCAGUUUGAUUCGUGCAGGGGAACGUAUUAAUCCAGGACUUCCAUGGGGGACCGGGCGUUCGCAUGUUUCCCGUACCGAAAACAGUUCCAUGCAAUUCAUGCGUAAGCCCCGCUGACCGCAUUCGUGAGUUUUAAGAUGGCCGCCAUCCUUUGUUCUCGCCACGUGUUCGUAUGUCGAAUGGCGGCCACCUAGUAGCAAUUAAGUUGCGGUUUUCUCUGUGUUCUAAUUGCUACUUGCUACCCAGGGUGUGUGGUCCCUGUUCGGUAUACGAAUACAUUCAUUCUCAACAUUUGGAACCGAACAAUAUAGACAAUAGCAGGGAGAGAAUUAAACUGAAGCAUAUAGGCAAUUGCAUAAAAGUCCUUCACAAUGGCCCCCCUUUUUCUCCCUGCUCCGGCAACUCGGUUAGACCUUUCCUGGUCCAGUAGUGUUGACGGGUUCAGAGCUGUUAGUCCGAGGAUAAAUCCGUUUGGCGUGACAAUCCAUCGGCAUUCCUGUUUUGCUUGCCUGGGCGAUAAUGAAUCGUAAAGUCAUAGGGCUGUAAGGCCAAGCUCCAGCGUAGCAAACGGGCGUUGUCCCCUGAAACCCGGUUAAGCCACACCAAGGGAUUGUGAUCGGUGAUGAGAGUGAAAGCCCGGCCAUAAAGGUAAGGUGUGAGCUUUUUGAGUGCCCAUACCAAGGCCAAACACUCUUUUUCAAUGGUGGCAUAACUGACCUCCCUUGGCAACAGCUUCCGACUCAGGUAUGCCACCGGGUGCUCCCCUCCAUCCUCUCCGAUCUGGCUUAGUACUGCCCCCAGUCCAAACAUUGAAGCGUCUGUGUGGACAAUAAAUCUUUUGUUAGGAUCUGGGGUAACCAACACCGGAGCCUUAACCAGAGCAGUCUUUAGUGCUUGGAAAGCCACCUCGCAUUCCGGGGACCACAGGACUUGUCGGGGUAGCUUCUUUUUGGUCAAGUCGGUCAGGGGUUUGGCCAGGGCGCUAUAGUCGGGUACAAAGCGUCUGUAAUAGCCGGCUGUGCCCAAGAAAGCCAUGACUUGUGUCUUGGUGUGGGGAGUGGGCCAAUUGGCAACGGCCUCGAUCUUAGCCGGCUCCGGCCGUUGCUUACCACAUCCUACUCGGUGGCCCAAAUAUUGUACCUCCGCCAUACCCAAAUGACAUUUGUCGGGUUUCAGGGUCAGCCCGGCCCCCCUGAUCCUAUCUAAUACUACCCCUACGUGCUCUAGGUGCGCUUCCCAUGUAUCGCUGUGGAUGGCGAUGUCAUCCAGGUAAGCGCAUGCGAAGCUCUGGAGACCCCCAAGUAACUGAUCCACCAUCCGUUGGAAGGUGGCCGGGGCGUUCUUCAUCCCGAACGGCAUAACCCGGAAUUGGUAUAGGCCGAACGGGGUGAUGAAGGCCGACUUGGGUAUGGCAUCUUCUGCUAGGGGAAUCUGCCAAUAUCCCUUGCAUAGGUCUAUUGUGGUCAGAUACUUCCCUGCAGAGAUACGGUCAAGCAGCUCGUCCAUCCGUGGCAUCGGAUAGGCGUCCGUAACCGUCUUGUCGUUGAGGCGCCGGUAAUCUACACAGAAGCGGGUUGUCCCGUCCUUCUUUGGCACUAAGACUACCGGCGAGGCCCAAGGACUUUCUGAGGGUUCGAUUACGCCUAGCCGAAGCAUCUCAUCUAUUUCCUUCCGCAUCCCUUCCCGGACUGCUUCUGGGAUACGGUAAGGAGGCUGUCUCAGGGGUGCCUGUCCUGGAGUCUCCACCUUGUGUAUGGCUAGGAGUGUGUACCCCGGCUCCUGAGAGAAUGUGGCCUGUUUCGUUUCUAGUAAGCGGACAGCUUGAGCCCGCUCUUGCGGCUCCAGCUGUUCCCCUAGCUGGACUUUCUCUAUCUGGGUCAUCCCUUCGUUACUGCCCAAUAGGUCGGGAAGGGGUAGGGUCUCUGUGUCUUCCCCUGCUGGUGCACAGAUAGCGGCUACCUCCUCUGCCCGUUCCUAAUAGGCCUUGAGCAUGUUGAUGUGAAAGGUUUGUUUCACAUCUUCAUCCUCGCAGCUGGCUAUCGUGUAGGUAGUGUUGCAUAUCUGUCCUAUAACUUUAUAGGGGCCCUGCCAGGCGGCCUGGAGCUUGUCUGUUCGGACCGGCCUUAAUACCAUGACCUUUUGGCCUAUCUGGAAGCUCCGGUGCCUAGCCCGUCGGUCAUACCAUACCUUCUGGCGCUGUUGGGCCGCCUGGAGGUUCUCUCGCACUGUCUGGGCUAAUUCCUCCAUGCGGUCCCUCAGCUCCAGGACAUAAGGUACAACCGGGGUCCCCUCAAUUUCUGUUUGCCCUUCCCAGUGAUCCUUGAUGAGAUCUAAGGGCCCCCUCACCCGCCUCCCAUAGAGAAGUUCGAAGGGUGAGAAUCCGGUCGAUUCCUGCGGCACCUCUCGGUAGGCAAAGAGAAGGUGUGGCAGGAAUCGCUCCCAAUCCUUGUACGCCCCCGUGAACGACUUCAACAUUUGCUUUAGCGUUCCGUUGAAGCGCUCGCACAGGCCGUUAGUCUGGGGGUGGUAUGGGGAGCUAGUCAGGGAUUUAACUCCACAGGUUUUCCAUAUCUGCUGGGUUACCUCGGCCAUGAAUUGUGUACCUUGGUCGGACAGAACCUCCUUGGGAGAGCCUACUCGGGAAAAUAUUUUAACUAGGGCCUCUGCUACGAUCUCAGCCUGUAUGUUAGAGAGAGCUACCGCUUCGGGGUAACGGGUUGCGUAGUCUGCUACGGUGAGUAUAUAACGCUUGCCGGAACGGCUAGGUUGGGCCAGGGGCCCUAUAAUGUCCACGGCUACCCUUGUGAACGGUUCUUCAAUAAUGGGCAUGGAAACUAGUUUAGCCUUUGGGUGGUCUCCCUUUUUACCUAUAUGUUGGCAUACUUCGCACGUUUGACAAUACGCCCUGACGCCGUCGGAUACCCCAGGCCAGAAAAAGUUCUGGGUUAUCCGAUACCCUGUCUUGCGUAUUCCCAAAUGGCCUGCAAAGGGUACGUUGUGCCCAAACCUCAAUAACUCCCGCCGGUACUUCCGGGGAACUACCAGCUGGCGUUUUUGCUUAGGCCCUGGUGCAUUACCCCGGGUCUCGGUGAGCCUGUACAAGCGGCCUUUCUCCCAGAUAAAUUGCUCCUUCUCUAACCCCCCUUGGCCCCUUCUGGCUUUCUCUCGAUACUUUCUGAGGGAAGGGUCUCCGGUCACCUCCCGCCCAAAGUCCUCUGGGGUGUCCCAGGGUAGGGGUUCUACAGUCAAGGGUAGGUUGGGUUGGCUUACCUGGGUCUCAGUAGGAAGCGGAUGGCUCUCGGCAGCGCGACUUUGUGCUCUGGUGGUUACUGCGUGGGCCUCCUGAGCGGUGGUAGAGGUGAACGCCGAAGUCAGGGGGCCAAUGUCGUUGCCCAAGAUGACUUCAGAAGGUAAGUCUUUCAUGACGCCCACAUGAACAUUGCCAGCUCCCGCACCCCAGUCCAGGUGUACCUGUGCAGUAGGAAUACGGUAUACUGCCCCCCCUGCCACUCUCACAGCAAUUGAUUUCCCCGGUUUCUCUGAUGCAUUAAUAAGGUGUCUUUGUACCAACGUGAUGGUUGCCCCACUGUCUCUUAAUCCCCGGGCGGUUUUUCCGUUAACCAUGACCAGCUGACAAUGGUGUUUCCUAUUGUCCGUAAUAACAGAUUGUACCAUGAGGGCUUCGUAAAGGGUGCCCAGUGGUUCUUCCUGACCCAGCUCCUGGGGAUCCCAAGCCGAGUCUAUACAAUGGGCUGCUGCUGGUGGGCGGUACCCAGGUCGAGACCAAUUUGACCUGGUGUUGUUGUCCAUGGGGCAAUUCUGCUUGAAGUGACCCAGCUGUUUGCACCGGAAGCAGCGUUGUUCAUUGUCCUCCUGGCGUGGAUAGCGAGGGCUAGAUGUCACCGGUCUGUUAGGAGGUUGGUAUCUAGCGGCUGGUGGAUGUGAGGGCACCGUUGGUCGUGGAGGUUGUACCCAUGGUGUGGCCUGGUUCGUCUUGCGAGUAUCCGCAUAUUCAUUCGCCAACUUAGCGGCUUCUGGUAGAGUCAUGGGCCUGCGAUCUCUCACCCAGUCUUUGACAUCCGUCUGGAUGUGCUUGUAAAAUUGCUCCAGGAGCAUUAGUUGCAGAAUGUCCUCUGCGGUGGUGGCCUGGCUGCUGUUAACCCAGUUAGAGGCCGACAGGGAUAACUGGCAUGCCCAUUCCACGUAAGAGUCUUUCGUGGUUUUGCGUGAGUCUCUGAACUUCUGUCGGUAGGACUCUGGGGUUACUGCAUAACGAGCCAGGAGCACUUCUUUAACCCUGGCAUAGCUAUGGAUCUCGUGUUCUGGCACGGUCCGGAAAGCAUCAGAAGCUUUGCCUGACAGUUUGCCUGACAAUAUGGAAACCCACUCUCCCCUAGCUAUUUGGUGCAGGUUACAUUGUCGCUCAAAAUCUGCCAGGUAGUUAUCAAUUUCACAGUCUUUUUCAUCAAAAGCUUUAAAAGCGCUAAACGGAAUCUUCCUUGUGUCUGCUGUGCUGUACUCACUGUUUGGAGAAUGUGCGGCUGCUUGUUGGACUGCUGCCAGUUUUAACUGUAGCUCUGCGUCUAUUAUUUGUUUAGCCUCCUCCGCUAACAGGUUCAUCACUUUCAGCACCACAUCCGCCGUUGGGUUCGGACCGAACCAUGCUAGCUUCUCUCUCAUUACCUUGUUGGCUGGUGAUUCCUCCUCCUGAAUCACUGGUGUCUCCAUCUCUUGUACUGCUGGCAUUGCUGCAACCAAGUUCUCCUGGUCUAGCUCCAUUAAUUCUGCUAUGAUGACCCGCUUGGUUUUGUUGCUAGCAAUCCUUCCACGAACUUCCAGUAGUUCUUUCAGUGUAUUUCUUUUAAGCAGGGUGUACCAGCCUUCCAUUCACUGUUCCCAGUGUCUGCUUGGAAUCCUGGUGUAAAGGAAAAGUAGAAGGGAAAAUCCCGCCGCUGCCAACCAGUUGUGACGGUAGUAAUCCCACUUUUAAUGAUUGUUUUGGCUCUUUUUCUCCCGGAGCUCCGCGGCCAUGCGUAUGCUCGCUUCAGUUGCUAGACUCCGCCCCCGGGUUAACUGUUUCUUUAAGAGAAUACCCCUGGGAAUAUAUGCAUAAUUAAAUGUGACAAUAAGUGGCGAAUGGUGCCACUUAGAUUUAGGGAAAACGUAGGGAGGACCGUGAACAUAUUGUAGCGUUACUUACCUUAACCGGGGGCCGGUCGCGGUCCUCUCUUCAAGCCGCGCGCGGUCCUGCGGCUGCACGAGCCGCGCGCGGCUCAUCCAACUACUUCGGAUGGAGGGCGGGCAGUGACCGCGUGAGGCGGUCACGUGUCCCGCCUGAAACUAAGAGCGCGCCGCGAGUCUCGGGCGCGCUCUUAAAGGGACAGUGGGUGCCUAAAUUGGAAAAGGCAUCCCAUUGGUCCCUGUCAUGCCACACUCCCCAUACACUUACCUUUUGGGGGCGUGGAUGUGACAGGGACCAAUCAAAUUAGAUGUUUAGGUAUUUAUACUCACCUUCUUCCCUUUGUUCCUUGCCCUAUCGUGGUUUCUGUUUCAGUUCCCUUUAGCGCUUGUGGUGUUCAGUUGUGUUUUCUCGUAUUGACUUUGGCUUCGUAUUCUGACUUCGUUUUCGCUUUAUCCUUAUCUGUACUGUUUGCCGGCUUGCUGUUUUCCGUGUACCAGACCCCGGCUUGUCCUAGUUUACGCUGUCUCUCUGUGCCCUUGACCUCGGUUUGUUCCUGGCUCUGUCUUCUCUCAUAUACAUCAAGUCCGGCCAUUCUAAGGUCCGGUAGACGUAUCUCUCCUCUGUAUUUGCCUCUGUUUAGCUGGAUCCUGCGUGUAGGGGUAUAUUCUCGUUACAUUACGAUAGGGCCAUGGACCCCGCAGAUUUAGCUCAACAGAUGGCGUCCCAUGAGGCAAGAUUUGUAGAGCAGGAUCACCGUAUGGAUCAAAUAGCUCAGGCUCUCCAGACGCUCCUAGCUAGAACCGUUCCAGCAACUACACCUAACCCUCCUACGCCCCUUCUCCCUGAAGUAUCUACUUUGCCUAAUACUUCGGCCCAUUUAACACCUCCUCCUAGGUAUGGAGGGGACUCUAAGACUUGCAGAGGGUUUAUUAAUCAGAUUGAAUUUCACUUUGAAAUGUAUCCACGUUCAUUUCCCACAGAGAGGUCUAAGGUUGGGUUCUUUAUGCACCAACUUACCGAUAAGGCACUUGAGUGGGCAAAUCCUAUUUGGGAAGCUAAUGGGCCUAUGGUACAUGAUUUCAACAGUUUUCUUACGGCUUUUCGUAGAACUUUUGACACAAUGAAAAGGUCAAAGAAUGCCAAGAGCAUUAAUGAGAAUUAAACAGGGUUCUAGGUCUGUGGCUGAUUAUGCUAUUCAGUUUCGCACUCUUGCUUCGCAGGUAGAUUGGACCAACAAUGGGUUAACUACUGCCUUUAUGGAAGGUUUGUCAGAUACGAUAUUGGAUGAGGUAGCAGCUAAGGAGCUUCCUAUUGCCUUAGAGGACCUUAUCGAUUACCUCAUUGAUAUUGAUAAUAGAAUUCGUGACAGGCUCUAUACCAAGAACAGGAAUAGACGUUUUGUUACACCCAUUAACCCCAGAGUUAAUAUACCAGAGAGUGUUAAAGUGUCUGAGGAGGAACCUAUGCAAUUAGGGGUUGCCAAACUCUCUGAUACUGAGAAAUUACAUAGGAGAAGGGAGGGACUCUGCCUAUACUGUGGUAGGAGAGACCAUAUGGUAAAGGAAUGUCCUUUACUCCCGGAAAACUCUCGCACCUAAGACCUUAUAGGGGACUGGCCUUGGGUGUGAUAUCUAAGUCUCCUAAAUUGCCUCCUAACCGCUUGCUUCUCCCGGUUUCUUUAUAUAUGGGAGAGAUUUGUAUAGUUGACAACAUAUAUGCUCUGGUUGACUCUUGGGCAGCUGAAAAUUUUAUAGACUCUGGCUUUAUAAAGAGAAACAACAUUCCCAUCAGAGAGAAGGAGAUACCCUUGGCCGUUGAGGCCAUAGAUGGUAGACCAUUAAGUUCUCCAGUUGUUACUCAUGAGACUGAACCACUACACAUGUACACAGGGGUUUUACACUACGAAACCAUUCGAUUCCAGGUUAUCACCUCUCCCUCUUCACAGUUAGUAUUAGGGUAUCCAUGGUUACGUGCUCACAAUCCCAUUUUUGACUGGGAGACAGAGCAAAUAAAAUCAUGGAGUAAGGCCUGCCACGAGUCUUGUACGUUGGAAGUCACACCUUUGAAUUCUAUUGAGGUACCUACCAGUCCUCCUUUGUCUAUGGUUAUACCCCCUCAGUAUUUAUCUCUAAAGACUGUUUUCGAUAAAAGGGAGGCUUAGAAAUUACCGCCUCACAGACCCUAUGAUUGCGCUAUUGACUUGUUGCCUGGCACUAUACCUCCAAAGGGCAGGGUGUACCCCUUAUCGGUUCAAGAAAACCGUGUCAUGGAGGAGUACAUCAAGGAAUCACUAGAAAAAGGGUUUAUUAGGAGAUCCACUUCUCCAGCUGGAGCAGGGUUCUUCUUUGUAUCGAAGAAAGAAGGUGAUUUAAGACCGUGUAUAGAUUAUAGAGGUCUAAACAAAAUCACUAUCAAAAAUGCAUACCCCAUACCUUUAAUUACAGAAUUAUUUGACAGGCUGAAACAUGCCACUGUGUUCACUAAAUUAGACCUUAGGAGUGCAUACAAUUUGAUACGUAUAAAGGAAAAUCACGAAUGGAAGACUGCAUUCAACACUAGAUCCGGUCAUUACGAAUACACUGUUAUGCCAUUUGGGUUUUGCAAUGCCCCAGCAGUAUUCCAAGAAUUUAUUAAUGAUGUAUUGAGAGAUUUUAUUCACACAUUUGUUAUCGUAUACUUGGACGACAUUUUAAUAUAUUCUGCAGAUAUACACACUCAUCACAGACAUGUUACGACAGUUUUGAAGACCCUUUUUGCUAAUGGUCUUUAUUGCAAGCUAGAAAAAUGUCUGUUUGACCAAACCGAAGUCCAGUUCUUGGGGUAUUUGAUUUCCGCUAAAGGUUUUCGUAUGGAUCCCCAGAAGCUAGCUGCUGUAAUAGAAUGGCCUCUACCGCAAGGUCUGAAAGCUAUUCAGCGUUUUCUUGGGUUCUCCAAUUAUUAUAGACGCUUUAUCAAAGGUUUCUCGUCCAUUGUAGCACCUAUUACCCGUAUGACUAAAAAGGAUGGCAAUACUCGUGUUUGGUCUACCGAGGCACUUCAGGCUUUUGAAUUUCUUAAAACUAUGUUCGCCUCUGCACCUAUUUUACAGCAUCCUGUCCCCUCACUGCCCUAUAUUCUUGAAGUUGAUGCUUCGGAUAUUGGGGUAGGUGCUGUCUUGUCCCAAAGAGAGUCGCCUGAGAAGCCAUUGCAUCCAUGCGGCUUCUUUUCUAAACAAAUGUCCAAAGCAGAGAAAAAUUAUGAUGUGGGUAAUCGUGAACUCCUUGCUAUUAUUUUAGCACUUAAAGAGUGGAGACAUUUGUUAGAGGGAACUAAGGAUCCUAUCCUCAUUUUUACGGAUCACAAGAACCUAUCCUAUCUUAGCGAAGCCAAAAGAUUGUCUUCCAGGCAGGCUAGGUGGUCACUAUUUUUGUCUCGUUUCAAUUUUAUUAUCACCUAUAGGCCAGGUGAUCGCAACACUAAAGCAGACGCUCUGUCCAGACAGUUCGAAACUACUGACAAACAGGAGAUUGAUGUUACUCCUGUCAUUCCCCCAGACAGGAUAAUAGCUACUACUAUUUUGUCUAUUUCCUCGUCCCUCUUGCAGACCAUACAAGCGAAACAAAGCAUGGCACCUAGCGAGAGGCCUAAUGAUAAACUGUUCGUUGAUGUUCCUGAGAGACGGGAUAUUAUGUCAUUAUAUCAUGAUACUAAGACUGCUGGACAUCCUGGUAUUUCCAAAACGGUGUCAGCUGUUUCUCGGUAUUUUUGGUGGGAUUCCUUACGAAAGGAUGUCACUGACUAUAUAAGUGCUUGUACUACUUGUGCCUGUAUGAAAUCCUCCCGUAGAGUUCCUUGUGGGCUGUUGCAUCCGUUACCCGUUCCCGAGAGACCUUGGUCUAACCUGUCCAUGGAUUUUAUUGUUGAAUUACCCCCUUCAAAUGGUAACACAGUAAUCCUGAUGAUAGUGGAUCGGUUCUCCAAAAUGGCUCACUUCGUGUCUCUUCGCAAGUUGCCCACAUCUAAGGAACUGGCUCAUAUCUUCGCUAGAGAAGUAUUUCGAUUACAUGGGAUUCCCGUAUCUAUUGUAUCCGAUAGGGGUAGCCAAUUUAUUUCCAGGUUCUGGAGGGCCUUUUGUUCAGAAAUGGGUAUUUCUCUCUCAUUUUCUUCCGCUUAUCAUCCCCAGUCUAAUGGGGCUGCUGAACGUGCCAACCAGUCUCUGGAGCAAUACCUCCGUUGUUUUGUGUCUCACCAUCAGGACAAUUGGUCUGACCUGCUUCCUUGGGCUGAAUUUGCUCGGAAUAACGCCACUCAUGAUUCUUCCGGCAAGAGCCCUUUUUACGUUGUCUAUGGCCAGCAUCCCGUUGUUCUUCCGGCUGCAUUCUCCUCACAGGGCAUGCCAGUUCUGGAUGAGCAUUUGGCUGGUUUGCGUAAUACUUGGGAGCAGGUUCAGCGUUCUUUGGUGGACUCUGCUACUCGCCAGAAGGCUCAGGCUGACAAGCAUCGCAGAGCAGCUCCGUCCUAUGUUGUGGGGGACAGGGUUUUGCUUUCCACGCGGAAUAUUCGUCUCCGGGUGCCUUCUAUGAAAUUGGCUCCCCGCUUCAUUGGACCUUAUCGUAUUAUACAUAAGGUUAAUCCUGUUUCUUAUGCCUUAGGCCUGCCUAAGAAUCUACGUAUUCCUAAUGUUUUUCACACCUCAUUGUUGAAACCUUUCGUACGCAACCGCUAUACCCGGCAUACUCCUCCUCCCCCUCCUAUCUCGGUAGAGGGUCAUGAGGAGUUUGAAGUGUCUGCUGUUCUUGACUCUCGUUUCCUUAGGGGUCGACUUCAAUACUUGGUACAUUGGAAGGGUUAUGGGCCUGAGGAGCACAGUUGGAUUUCGGCCGAUGCUGUCCAUGCUCCCCGUCUUGUGCGCUCUUUCCAUUCACGUUUUCCUGCCAGGCCUGGUCCUACCCGCCCGGGGGGCGUGUCCUCAGGGGGGGGUACUGUAGCGUUACUUACCUUAACCGGGGGCCGGUCGCGGUCCUCUCUUCAAGCCGCGCGCGGUCCUGCGGCUGCACGAGCCGCGCGCGGCUCAUCCAACUACUUCGGAUGGAGGGCGGGCAGUGACCGCGUGAGGCGGUCACGUGUCCCGCCUGAAACUAAGAGCGCGCCGCGAGUCUCGGGCGCGCUCUUAAAGGGACAGUGGGUGCCUAAAUUGGAAAAGGCAUCCCAUUGGUCCCUGUCAUGCCACACUCCCCAUACACUUACCUUUUGGGGGCGUGGAUGUGACAGGGACCAAUCAAAUUAGAUGUUUAGGUAUUUAUACUCACCUUCUUCCCUUUGUUCCUUGCCCUAUCGUGGUUUCUGUUUCAGUUCCCUUUAGCGCUUGUGGUGUUCAGUUGUGUUUUCUCGUAUUGACUUUGGCUUCGUAUUCUGACUUCGUUUUCGCUUUAUCCUUAUCUGUACUGUUUGCCGGCUUGCUGUUUUCCGUGUACCAGACCCCGGCUUGUCCUAGUUUACGCUGUCUCUCUGUGCCCUUGACCUCGGUUUGUUCCUGGCUCUGUCUUCUCUCAUAUACGUCAAGUCCGGCCAUUCUAAGGUCCGGUAGACGUAUCUCUCCUCUGUAUUUGCCUCUGUUUAGCUGGAUCCUGCGUGUAGGGGUAUAUUCUCGUUACACAUAUGUUAUUAAAGAAUACCUAGAGGAACAUACUUAAAUUGUAAAAUUAAACAUGCUUAAAACCUCAUGCGUUCGGCUAACGAACGUGCAAGAGGAAUAUAAUAGGACCGCAUGUGAUAGAUUUUAUGAAAUGAAAAGCUAGUAACAAAGCUGUUCGUACAUGUUUCGGCUAAACGAAAGUGAGAAACAGACGAACGUAAGGUGAGUAUAAGCCUUCGGUAAAUUAUUUUAACGAAAGAAGAACGAAAGUGUGUGUACUCUGCGGUCGGCUAAAAAAAACGCACGAACGCAGAAGUACACGAACGGGAAGUACACGAAGUAAUAUAGCUAUCCCCGCGUUUUUAGGCCCGAAUGCUUGUGUGUGUGCCGGUAGGGCCGCCACCAGAAAUUUUGGGGCCCCUAACUCAGCUCGCCUCCAAUCCUGUCCACAGGGUCCACCUCCAAAUCCCGCCCACAGGAAUACACACACAGUCACAAACACACACACUGAUACAAAAAGGACACAGAUGUACACACACACAGAUACAUACUAAAACAGACAUACACGCAUAUAGGCAUACAUACUGACACACACAUACUGAGACAUACACACAUAUACAGACACACAGGUAUAUAUAGUGACAGACAGACACAUACUAACAUACAGACACACAUGCAUGAGGACAUACAGAUACCGACAUCCAUACACACAUACAUUCAUAAUGACCUACAGACAUACAUACAUAUAUAUAUAUAUAUAUAUACACAGACACACUGACAUACAUACAGACACUGACAUCCAUUCACACAUACAUUCAUAAUGGCAUACAGACAUACAUGCAGACAUCCAUACACACGUUCAUAAUGACAUGCAGACAUACAUUGAUACUGGCAUACAUACAUAUAUACAUACAGACAUAUAUACUGACAGACAUACAUAGAUGCAUGCAUUCAUACAGACACACACACAGAGCUAAUUUUCCAGCCACCCUCCUGUUUUACCUUUUUGUUGCAGGAGGUUGGCUGGAGCUGAUGGGACCGGGAGUCGGCUGGCUCUCCCUCACUGCCGGACACGUGCUCCUCCCGCGCGGAGUGAGCUGGGAGGAAGUGAGCACUUGCUGCGGCUUUUUUUUUUUUAAAGGGGCCCGGUCGCGCUAUACCACGGCCACAGUGCUGACCGGCCCCCUGAAGAUAUAGGGCCCAUCGGGUGGCCCACGCACUUAGUGUGUGGGCCCUGGUGCAACUGCACCGGCGGCAGUUCCGCUGCUACACGCGGGGGCCGGCCCCCCCAGCCCCGUGACAACCAUCAUGGUAGCCGGGUAACGAGUAGGGAAUACAGCAGGACAGCCGGUGGCAGGAGAUGCUGAAGACUGUUUGUUCGAGGCAAGACUGGCAGGAACAACGAACCGUAAGUGCAGGUAACUAUGGAGACAAAACAGCUUGAACGGCAAAGGUAAGUAGGGGGGUUCAUAUAGAGUCACAACUCCUCCCACAAAUUCAGGCCUUCCAACAUAUCAAAAAAUAAAAAAGGUGCGCUAUACCUUAAAUUUUUAAAGUGCUACAAAAUAAGUGUCAGUGCACUGUGCAUUCAAGAAUUACUAAUAUAAUAAUAUUAUUGGAACAAUGUGCAAAAUUGCAACUGUGUUCUGUGAUAAUAUAUUUAAAACCACUUAACCAAAUUAACACAAUCAUAAAAAAAAAAUGUUAAUUUGUAAUACUUUGUUGAGAAUCCUUUGCAGGCAAAAACUACUCGAGGCCUGGAACGCAUGGACAUCACCAAACACUGGUUUUCCUCCUUUGUGAUGCUUUGCCAGGCCUUUACUGCAGCUGUCUUCAGUUGAUAAGGAUCAGGUAUCAACAGGUGAUCCUGAUGAAAGUCCCGGACUAAAACGUUGAUCCAGCCUUUUUAACCCCUUAAGGACACAACUUCAGAAAUAAAAGGGAAUCAUGAUGGAAUAUUUCCGUCAUGUGUCAUUAAGGGGUUAAAUGAUUCUACAAUAAAGCAUUAAGUUUUAAACUUAGAAAAAUCCAUGAUUGCUGGUCAUCUCCCUGCAGUAUAUAUAUGAGAUUCAGUGUGUAAUGGGAUGAAGCAUGUAUGUAUAUAUGUAUGUAUGUAUGUGGAGUUGAAGGUAUGUGGGGAAGAAGUGUGUAUGUGGGUGAAGAUAUGAUGUGUGUGUGUGUGUGUGUGUGUGUGAGGGGUGUACUGUGUGUGUAUGCAAAGGUGUACUCUGUGUUGGUGGGAGUGUACAGUAUGUGGGGGGUUCACUGUCUGUGAAGGUGUACUGUGUUCAGGGGGGUGUAGAGAGUGGAAUAGGGAAAAGCUUUGCAAUGUUUGCUUUAAUAAUUGUUUUAAAAAAAUAUUCCCUUUUCCCUGACCUUGCAGGGAGGGGGUGGUACAAUCAGAUUCGUGGUGGUUGAGAAGGCUGCCUAUCCAUUGGGUAAAAGGGAGGUCACGAGGUGAAAGGUAUCUCUUGGAGCUCAAGCACUUACACAGACUAACCCGUACAAACCCACAGACUGACACACACACACACACACACACACACAUUGCUUCCCCACACAGAGUGACCCAUACAUACACACACAGACUGACCUCCCCCCCACCACACACAGACUGACCCAUACAUAAACAGAUUCACCCAUACACACAAACAGACCACCCACACGCAGACUGAAGCCCCCACCCCCACCCCCACACACAUACAGACUGACCUUCACACACAUACAGACUGAGGCCCACACACACACACAGACUGAGCGUCACAUCAUGCCAUGUUCUGCGGAGAUGUCUGGCUUUGGCUUCUGGUAUCCAGUACUCUUUUUACAUUUCUUGUUUAGUUUUUCUUGGUUUUUCUGGUUUUCUAUUCUAUGUCUGGUUUUCUUUAUGCUGGGUUUUUCUGGGUUCUUUCCUGUAAUCCGUCCCUGGAAUUCCCAGUGUCCAGGUUUCCUUUAAAUGUUUGUUUUAUGUUGCCGCACCCGUUUGUUUUCCAUCAUUCCUUUUGUUUCAGUGUUCCUGCAGGCAGCUGCUCAAGCCUUCUGCUCUUUCUUGCAGGUAAGUGCUAUAUAUGUGUUUCUUAUGGUUCUUUUAGUAUACAUUAGGCAGAGUAGGACCUGCCAGAUAUGGGGUACAUUGGCGUUGUUGGCAGGCUUGUGCAAUGUAUGAUCGUAUAAUGUGACUAAAUCAACAUGAUUUUCAUAUAUAGUACUUGGUUAUUUCUCCUCUUGUUUUGCCUAUCAUAUCUUGUCUUGUUUUAGUUUGUAUUCCCAGUCCAUGUACAGUCCUGUCCUGUCCUGCCCCUGUUUAGUUAAUGUUCCCUUAUGUAUUGUGUACAUGUUCUGGGUUUAGCUUCCAAUCCUUCUCUGGUUCUGGGUUCUACUAGUUCUGUCUUGUUUUCAUGUUUGGUGCCUGUUCUAGUCUUGCCUUGUUUCUGUACUGGAUACAUGUCUGCUGCAGAGCUCCCCUAUCCAGUUCCUGGGAGGUCUGCAUAUCAAGCUCCUAGUUCCUGGGAACCGCUGUAGCUGCAUCAGGGUUCUGGUAUGUGGCCGCGCAAAUGCUGGUGCUCAACACCAGGGGGCGUGCGGUUACCCUGCACCGGGCCCUGUAAUCCACUUCCACGCUGAGACUCCCACUUCUCAUCAGGCACUCAGGGGUCCCGGUUUCCGUACCGCCACCCGUGACACUGAGCUCCCCACACACACACACAGUGACUCACCCCACACACACACAGACUGACCCAUAAUCACAAACUGAUCCCCACACACAGACUGACCCAUACAUAAAACACACACACCCAUACACAUACACAGACUGAGCCCCCUCUCCCAUAGACUGACCCAUUCACACACACAGACUGACCCCCCCCCUCACACAGAGACUGAGCCCCCACCCACACAGACUAACCUGUUCCUGCUUUCCCAACAACCAACUGAAUCAAUUACCCCUUCCAGCCAUAAUGGAAAGAGGUAAGUCUGUGCAGAGGCAGCUCUAGACUUUAUGAGGCCUUAGGCGAAACUCAAACAUGAAGCCCCAUGUUUGGGGGGGGUGAUGGUGAGAGGGAGAGGCGGGUGAUGGUGAGAGGGGGUGAUGGUGAGAGGGAGAGGUGAUGGUGAGAGGGGGUGAUGGUGAGAGGGAGAGGGGGUAAUGUGAGGGGGGUAAUGUGAGAGGGAGGGGGGGUGAUGUGAGAAGGGGGGGUUGAUGGCGAGGGGGAGGUUGAUGGUGAGGGGGGUGAUGCAGGUGAUGCUGAGGGUGGUGAGGGAGGGUGAGAGAGAACCUACCUUUAUUUCCUGGUGGUCCAGUGGGCUCCCUGGUGGUAAUUUCUUCCGGUCUGCAGCUCCGCUCACCCGCGGCAACGCUCUGAUUGGUCAGUUCUCGCGAGACACAUGGUCUGCAGCUCUGCUCACUGUGUCUCAGACCAGUGUCUGUGGUGGCUGGCCGGGCUCGCACCCGGCGGCAUACCGGGCAAGCCGCCGGGCCCCCUCCUGGUGUCGGGUCCUCAGUCACUGACUGAGGACCUGACGCAGUCUGCCCACAGACGGUUUAGGCGGCCGCAAGGCCCCUGCCAGCACCAGGCCUUAGGCGGCCGCCUAAACUGCCUAAUUAGAGAGCCGCCUAAGUCUGUGUGUGUGUGUGUGUGUGUGAGACUGUGACUGCCUGUUACUGUUUGCCUGUUCAUGUGUCUGCCUGCAUGUGUUUGUGUGUGUGUGAGACUGCCUGCGUGUGUGUGACUGACUGUAUGACUGCCUGCCUGUGUGUGACUGCCUGCGUGUGUGUGUGACUGUCUGUCUGUCUGACUGCCUCCCUUUGUGUGUAACUAUCUGCCUGUGUGUGUGACUGUGUGUGUGUUACUGUCUGCCUGUGUGUGUGACUGCCUGCAUGUGUGACUGCGUGUUUGUGUGCAUGUCUGACUGCCUGUGUGUGUGACUGCCUGCCUUUGUGACUUUCAGUCUGUGUGUGUGUGGCUGUCUGUUUGACUGCCUCCCUGUGUGUGUCUGUCUGCCUAUGUGUGUGACUGCCUGCCUGUGUGUGUGACGGUCUGCCUGACUGCCUGUGUGUGACUGUCUGACUGCCUGUGUGUGUGUGUGUGUGUGUGACUUUGUCUGUCUGUGUGACUGCCUCCCUUUGUGUGUAACUAUCUGCCUGUGUGUGUGACUGUGUGUGUGUUAUUGUCUGCCUGCCUGUGUGUGUGUGUGACUGCCUGUCUGACUGCGUGUUUGUGUGCCUGUGUGUGACUGCCUGCCUUUGUGACUGUCAGUCUGUGUAUGUGUGUGACUGCCUGUGUGUGUAUGGCUGUCUGUCUGUGUGACUGCCUCCCUGUGUGUGUGUCUCUGUCUGCCUGUGUGUGUGUGUGAGACUGUGUGUGUGUGUGUAUGUGACUGCCUGCCUGUGUGUCUGCCUGCCUGUGUGUGACUGUCUGCCUGUGUGUGUGACUGUAUGUCUGACUGCCUGUGUGUGUGACUGUCUGACUGCCUGUGUGUGUGUGCGCGACUGUCUGCCUGACUGCCUGUGUGUGUGUGCGCGACUGUCUGCCUGUGUGUGACUGUCUGCCUGACUAUGUGUGUGUGACUCCAUGCCUGUGUGUGUGUGACUCCAAUUGUGUCGCUGUAGCUGUGCCAUUGUGUGUGCCUGUCCCUGUAUGUGUAACUAUCUGCCUUUAACUGAGUGUGUGUGUGCCUUUCACCAUGCGUGAGUGUCUGCAUGCCUGUAAUGGAGUGUGUAUGACUGUCUGCUUGUAAUGGAGUAUGUGUGACUGUCUGCUUGUGACUCUGUGUGCCUGUAACUGUGUGUUUGGCUCUGUGACUGUCUGCCUGUAACUGAACAUGUCUGACUGUCUGCUUGUAACUGUUUGUGUGACUGUCUGCUUGAGCCUGUAUACAGGCAACUUGGUGGGGUAAGGGGGGGCGCCCUGAAGACUUUUCGCACAGGGCGCCUAACAGGGGUGGACUGACAACCCUCAGGGCUCCCGGGCAAAAUAAAUCAAGGGCCCCCUUACAGGCCCCACCCAUGCUCUGCAGGAAGGGGUGGGGCCUGUCCCAUCUCCUCCCUCAGUAAAGGUAAGAAGGGAGAGGGGACAUAAAUUUAUUUAUUUAAAAAAAAAAAAAAACACUCCCUACCCUCCUUCCCCCCCCCAUACUCUAGCCGGUAGCUCCAGGGCUAGAGUUCACUCUCGCGAGAUUUGGAGCGUUGCCAUAGUAACCGGGGCAGUGCUCCGUGCUCUCGAGAGUAGGACACGGAGGAGCUGCAGGCUGAGCUCCCGGGUCCUCUCUCCCUCCCUCCCAUGCUAGCUGUCAGCACAGUGCCUGCGGACCGGGGAGGGAGAUCUCUGAUCUCCCUCCCCGGUCCGCAGGCACAUUGCAGGGCUGGCACUUGGACAAUGCCAGCCCUGCAUUAGCCAGCAGGGGAGAAUCUUGGGGGGGCAAUUGCCCCGUUGCCCCCCCCCCCCGGAUCCGCCACUGGGGUGGCAGCCUCGCCGGUCCGGCGGCACUCCUGUCUCUAUAUAUUGAAGGUAAUAAGUGUGGGCUACCUUGAUAUCUAGCACCAAUAUAGAUAGAGUGCCAGUACAUAUUAUUUUUGAAUAAUGAUUUGCCUACCUCUUGGAGAGUGUUCGUCACUUGGCUGGAUGUUGUGAACGAGUUAAUCUUUACCAUGGAAAGGAUCCUAUUAUCAUCCACCACUGUUGUUUUCUGUGGAUGUCCAGUUCUUUUUGUGUUGCAGAGCUUACCAGUGUGUUCCUUCUCAGAAUGUACCAAACUGUUGAUUUAGCCACUCCUAAUGUUCCUGAUAUCUCUGAUGGAUGUUUUUUUUUUUUUUUUUUGUGCAGCCUAAGGAUGUCCUGUUUCACUUACAUUGAGAGCUCCUUUGACAGCAUGUUGUAGGUUCACAGCAACAGCUUCCAAAUAUGAAUACCAUACCUGGAAUCAACUCCAGACCUUUUACCUGCUUAAUUGAUGAAGAAAUAACUAAGGAAUAGCUCACACCUGUCCAUUAAAUGGUCUUUGAGUCAACUGUCCAAUUACUUUUGGUCCCUCAAAAAAUAGGGGGCUACAUAUUAAAGAGCUGUAAUCCCUAAAUGCUUCCUCCAAUUUGGAUGUGAAUACUGUCAAAUUAAAGCAGAGAGACUGCACUUUAAGCCC